UCAGCACCACAGGCGCUGGCGCGCCGCACCCCCUAUUCCUCCCUUCUCCUCGUCCGGAUAGCCGCUGGCCGCCCCACUGCUUCUCCCCCUUCCUCCUACCUCCCUUAUCACCACUACCUCCGGCCCUGCCCCCAAUCCACAUCCGCCUCCUCCCUCCCUUCCUUCCAGAUUGGGGAGUAAGAUCACAGGCGGCAAAGCAUGCGGUCGAUGGCAGCGGCUGGACGAGGAGCAUGGAGGCGACCGGGGCUGCUGGACAGUAGGGGUUCGCCGUGGUGGUCCAUGCCUGGGAAGAGGGCGACAUCUUCCGGCGACAAGGUGAGCUUUGCCUAAUCCCCCCUCCUCUCUCUCUCUCUCUAUCUAUCUCUAUCUCUCUCUCUCUCUAAUCUGCUCUCUGGUAUGAAGAAGCGGCCCCGGUGCCAUCGUCCUCGGUACAGGUGCAACGCGGGAUCCUGAGAUGGUUACUCCGACUCCGUUGCCGCCGUCCUUUCUCCAAAUCAGGCGCGGAUUAGCCGAGCCCGGUGGUGAGGUGAAGGAGCAGGGUGGGCGGCCCAUCGCGAUGGGAUGGGGCUAGGGAAGAGGGAGGAGGCGGAAGGGUGAAGGAGCAGGCCGGCCCUCACGGUCACAGAGGCGCAACAGCUGUCCAGGGUCAUUCGCCGUUACCGGCCUCACUCGCCUCGUCUCCUAUCUCCUCACCACUGCAUCCAUGUGAAUUUUUGGAGAAUGGUGCUCCGAUUUGGUCCCCAUGGUAGUAUCUUCCCUGAGUCUUCCUUCUUUGAUUUCUAACUUUAUGCUUUGAUCUGUUGUAUUGACAUAAAUUGUGAGGUCUACUGUUACACCAUGGUAUGUGUAGUGCUAACGGUUUCCUGCUGGGCAGCUGCAGGCCUGCAACAUUUAUAGAGGAGGAUUGCGGGUGUCGAUACAAUGGAGCAAUUUCUGGCUUUGUAGUUGGAGCAUAGCCUCGAUUAUGCAUGAUUUUGGGGUAAGUUCCUGGUGGUCCUAUCUCGGAUCAGUUCCUUUGCUUUCUCCCUGUGUGCUAUACAUUUCUGCUCUCCCCAGUAGGUACAGUUAGUAUGAAAUAGGAGUAAUACAUCCUGGACCCAGCUCUCCAUUAUUAGAAUUUUGUUGCUACUUCUUGCCGAUCAGUUACAAAGUAUUAAUUCAAGUAAUUUGUUAUGUACAAUUUGUCAAAAGCAAUUGGAUGUUAAUCUGCUAUGGGCAGCGGCGGUGCAUCAAGGUGCAAGGCAGCAGCGAGAUGUUCAUAUUACGCUAAAGGAUGAACUCCUACUUUUUCUGAUGCUAGCUCCUUGCUGCAGGUGAGCUGCCACCUUCUCCCCCAUAUGUUAGCAUUGUGCUUUGCAAAUUGAAUAUUUUAGCAUAUUGUUUCAACCAAACAUGAUGUGAUAUUUUAGAUAAACUAAAUAACCUCUAGAAUUUGAUCCUGAUUAGUAUAUAGACAUUGGCCAUUGGCCAUAUUUGUUACAAAAAAAGUGAUGUGAUAUGCAUAUGCAUUUGCAACUCUUGAGCUUUUAAAAGAAGACUUGAUAUGUGACCCUCCCUUUGCUACUGUAAUAUAGAAGUAACGUCAAAAAACUCAUACUGGGUGUCAACUGAUGUAUCUCAUUGCUUACAG
rnacentral:lncRNA from 1 species